AAAUUAGCCGGGCAUGGUGGCACACACCUGUAGUCCCAGCUACUCGGGAGGCUGAGGCAGGAGAAUCGCUUGAACCUUGAGAGGCGGAGGUUGCAGUGAGCCGAGAUCGCGCCAUUGCACUCUAGCCUGAGCAACAAGAGCAAAACUCCAUGUCAAAAAGAAAAAAAAAAAGCAAAAUAGAAAUUUCGUACACAGUUUAGCAAUCUGCUCCUAGGUGUUGACCCAAGAGAAAUGAAAGAGCAAGGCCACACAGACGUGUUCAGGAACAACCCAUGAUCCACGCACAGCUGGACAUACGAAGGAGCUGUGUGCGUCCACGCCACGGGGUCCUGCUCAGCAUGGAGAGGGGUGAGCUGCUGGUGUGACGGCGCCACGGGGUCCUGCUCAGCAUGGAGAGGGGUGAGCUGCUGGUGUGACGGCGCCACGGGGUCCUGCUCAGCAUGGAGAGGGGUGAGCUGCUGGUGUGACGGCGCCACGGGGUCCUGCUCAGCAUGGAGAGGGGAGCUCAUCCCCGCUCCUGCACUGUGGCCAUAGCUCCAGGCAGCCGCGCGCCGACCCCACCCACAGGCCUGGGUGGAGCUGAAGGUCUAAGCCCCAUGCCAGACCCUCAUCCAGGCAGCGACCCCUGGGCACAGGGGGCAUGGCAGGGACACCGAUUUCCUCCUCCUUCUGUCAGUUUGGACAAAGAUUCCAGGGCCACAGACCACCGUCUGGCCGCCCCAAACUGCUUUCUCCAAAAGGGCUUGCCCCAAAGCUUUGCCCACCGAGUCCUGGAGCUGCUGAGCGUCCUGCCGGGCCUCACCUUAGUCUCUCCUGUCGCCUUGUGAGGAAGUGCCUGCUUCCCCUUCCACCAUGAUUAGGUGUGUGUUACUCAGAGGCUGGUGGAGAUGAGAUACACUGCACGUCACAAACCCUGGAGGGACCUGUGAAACUGAAACAGAUGUUGCUGGUAACACAACAGAGGACAAAAACAUGGACUCCUUAAAGAUAGUCAACCAAUCCAAAAGAAAUCAGGAAAAGAAAAAAACAAGGAACAAAGAAUAAAUGAAAAAAAUACAAAACAAAUAGCAAGGUAGUAUACAUAAAUUAAAAUGUAAAAAUUCCAAAUUAAAGGCAGAUAUUUUCAGACUGAAUAAAGGGCAAUAUUCAGCUAUAUACUGUGUAUAUAAAUCCACUUUACAUAUAAAGACACGUAUAGAUUAAAUGUGACAAGAUGGAAAUAAUACAACAUACAAACAUUGAUUAUAAUUAAGCUGAUGUGGCCAUACUAACAUUAGACAAAGCAGACUUCAGAACAAGGAAUAUUAACAGAGAAAAAGAAAAGCAGCCCAUAAUGGAUACAGGGUUCUAUGUAUUAAGAAAAUAUAGGCCGGGUGCGGUGGCUCACGCCUGUAAUCCCAGCACUUUGGGAGGCCGAGGUGGGCGGAUCACGAGG
rnacentral:lncRNA from 10 species